rnacentral:ribozyme from 1 species
AGCCCAGAGAAUGCUGUAAACGACAUGUCCUAGAGACGGAAUGGUGUCAGUGAGUGAGAAAAGCGAAUGAACAAGACCAAACAGAACUUAUAUUAAAAGCAUUUGGAAUUUAUUUCUUUCAUUUCCUUUACUAACAUCCAAUUUCUGGGAUUUUAUGGACAGUAGA